rnacentral:tRNA from 1 species
GUAAGUGUGGCUCAAGUGGUAGAGCUCCUGUCUGUCAAGCACAAGGCCCUGUGUUCAAAUCCUAGUACUGCCA